rnacentral:rRNA from 1 species
ACGCUGGCGGCAGGCUUAACACAUGCAAGUCGAACGGUAACAGGGAUUAGCUUGCUAAUCUGCUGACGAGUGGCGGACGGGUGAGUAAUGCUUGGGAAUCUGGCUUAUGGAGGGGGAUAACUACGGGAAACUGUAGCUAAUACCGCGUAAAAUCUUCGGAUUAAAGGGUGGGACUUUCGAGCCACCUGCCAUAAGAUGAGCCCAAGUGGGAUUAGGUAGUUGGUUAGGUAAAGGCUGACCAAGCCGACGAUCUCUAGCUGGUCUGAGAGGAUGACCAGCCACACUGGAACUGAGACACGGUCCAGACUCCUACGGGAGGCAGCAGUGGGGAAUAUUGCGCAAUGGGGGGAACCCUGAUGCAGCCAUGCCGCGUGAAUGAAGAAGGCCUUCGGGUUGUAAAGUUCUUUCGGUGACGAGGAAGGUUGGUAGGUUAAUAGCCUAUCAAAUUGACGUUAAUCACAGAAGAAGCACCGGCUAACUCCGUGCCAGCAGCCGCGGUAAUACGGGGGGUGCGAGCGUUAAUCGGAAUAACUGGGCGUAAAGGGCACGCAGGCGGUGACUUAAGUGAGAUGUGAAAGCCCCGAGCUUAACUUGGGAAUUGCAUUUCAUACUGGGUCGCUAGAGUACUUUAGGGAGGGGUAGAAUUCCACGUGUAGCGGUGAAAUGCGUAGAGAUGUGGAGGAAUACCGAAGGCGAAGGCAGCCCCUUGGGAAUGUACUGACGCUCAUGUGCGAAAGCGUGGGGAGCAAACAGGAUUAGAUACCCUGGUAGUCCACGCUGUAAACGAUGUCGAUUUGGGGAUUGGGCUUUGAGCUUGGUGCCCGUAGCUAACGUGAUAAAUCGACCGCCUGGGGAGUACGGCCGCAAGGUUAAAACUCAAAUGAAUUGACGGGGGCCCGCACAAGCGG